CCGGGGCAGGUCUCCGGGAGGGGCAGGUCCGCGGCGUGCCUCCAACCCGGCGCCUGCAGCCCCGGGGCAACAAGGUGUGGGGUUUUUAAUUGAGAAGUUUUUCUCUCUGGGCCUUAUUAUACAGGAAAAGGGAAGGGGCGAAGAUCCGGGCUCGGGUUCUCCCGGGGAAGCGAACCCAGAGGCGACCCCAAACUCAGUAGUUGCCGCCCAGCUCGGGGACUUGAUGCCGGCGUCAAGCGGGGCAGCGGAACGCACCAGCGGCCCGGCCAGCCCAGCGAGAUCCGAGCGGGCGGCCCCGCCAGACAGCGCCACUUGCCCGCGCCGAGAGUGGCCCCUCACCGCGGAUGCUCAGGAGCUUCCAGGUUCAACAGAUGCGUGAGAUCCAUAGCAGAAACAUUGCUGUCCUCUUCAGAUUCAAGUACGGGUGAAAGUCAAGCUCUGGGAUACUGGAGCAGGGCUAUAUAAUUCUCUUUCCCUUGUAAUUUCAUUAAAAAAGAUUAAGGAAACCCUUGAAAAGUUGUAGAUACCUAAAAUUUUGGCCGUGCAUUGAUCAUCCACAAAAAGUGAAAGAUCACAAGUGAUCAAGCCACAUGUGUGAAAAAUCUCAAAUACACUUUGGGAGGCCGAGGCGGGCCGAUCAUAAGGUCAGGAGAUCGACACCAUCCUGGCUAACAGGGUGAAACCCCGUCUCUACUAAAAAUACAAAAAAUUAGCUGGGCAUGGUGGUGGGCACCUGUAGUCCCAGCUACUGGGAAGACUGAGGCAGAAGAAUGGCGUGAACCCGGGAGGCGAAGCUUGCAGUGAGCCGAGAUCGCACCACUGCACUCUAGCCUGGGCAACAGAGCGAGACUCCAUCUCAAAAAAAAAAAAAAAAAAAAAAAGAAAGAAAACUCUCAAAUAACUCUUGAUUCAAAUAGUCAACAUAACUCCUGGAGGAAAAAAAAAAGCAUUUCUACAUUGAGAGAGACAUUGCUAUAGUCCCC
rnacentral:lncRNA from 1 species